UAAAAUGUCGUGUUUACAUGUUAGUAGCCGCGUUUUGCGUGUUACGAAGUUGCUUGCCUGCACUUGACUAACUGAACCGCUUUGAUGAGGACAGGACUUCACGGUUCACGCACGGAUACUACAAAAUGUACUUACAUAUACCUCGUUUCGCCCUUGUAAGGGUAGGGUAGAGACCUAACUGAAGUCAAGUACCUUCAAAAGUUUGAUAUGCUGAGGUGUUCCCUGUGGGUGCUGGCAAACUUAUUCAGCAAGUCCCUCUCCCACUCAUUUAGCGCAUGUACAAUGUCGGGGACAGCUGACACGUGCCCUAUAUCUGUCCUUGAAAGGUUUGAAAAAGUGGAAGGUUCGACGGGAAAGUUUAACGAUCUGGUGCUGAAGUACCCAGUGAAGAUGGGAGACGCAAAUCAGGUCGUUGUUUUCUUCGGAGGCGACAUACAGGACUUUCCAGAGGCAAUGAUGAAGCAUCGUGAUAACAGGCGGUACGUCCAGUGGAACCUCGAAAACAUGGCCACAUUGAUGGGAAAGCACUUCCCCACCGCUCACUGCAUCGUCGUAAGGCCAAACAGGCUUCAGUACCUCACAUUCAGCUGUUAUGACAACUUUGUUGAGAGCAACGACAUGGGGGCACCGACUCACGAAUUCAGCAUUACUGCAUUGGAGCACAUGCAUGCCCUCCUGAGCACUUUGUCCGUGAGGCUGAAUGAGAAAACAGACAAGGCAAAGUAUGGUCCUGUUGCCACGGGCAUGAUGGAACUUCCGGUGGUGCUUAUUGGAUUCAGCAAAGGCUGUGUUGUCCUCAACCAAUUCCUCUAUGCUAUGAAGGCACUGGAAGUCGCUCCUGAUGAUGAUGUCAGUGAGCUUGUCCGCAGAAUAAAAGCGAUGUACUGGUUGGAUGGUGGUCACUCCGGUGGAUCUAAUACAUGGGUAACCAAGGAGGCGGCCAUGAAACCGUUGAAACAUUUGGAGAUCAAGGUGUAUAUCCACGUGACUCCAUACCAAGUGCUGUGUAACUCAAGGCCCUGGAUAGGCAAAGAAGAGAAAGUGUUUAGAGAGACUCUGAAGAAAUUGGGGGUUGACGUGACACGGAAGAUCUAUCAUGAAGAUGAGCCUGCUUCUCUGGAAAUGCACUUUGGUGUUCUUAAGGAGUUCAAGGAAGCUGCGUGACUGUGGGACUUCUACUGCUUGUUUGUGCUAACACGUGCUUUAAGGCGUAUGAGAGUGCCACAUUUUAUUAGUUUUUUGCAUCUACCAUUUAAUGCGACUGGUUCUGUGAACGUCACGGGUCACAUUAAUGCUUGUGUACUAGGGGUCUGUGUGAGCAGAUAAUUUAUUGAGGCCUCGUGACUUCGCUUACGUCAUAUCUGUGUGGUGGAUUUGAAUGAACUUGGACUGCAAGGCGAAGCUGUUCUGUGUGGAUAAGCCCGGUGUUGUAGUGACCUUCUCAGAGACCUACCUAACAGCGACUUGUUAUCAGUGGCUGUGUGAUUUGUGUGCAGAGAAAAAAAUAUUCGUGCGCAACAAGAGUUGGUUGAUGCAUUUAUAAAGAGAGAUGUGUUGUGAUCAUAAAGAAAUCAGUGAUCAUGUGUGAAGAUAGGAUUGACUUAAUGCGUGUUGCUGAAGGCCACUGUCUGUUUAGUCUAAAUGUUUGUUACUGAUACGUUAGUGAUACUGCUGCUGCCACAACUGAGACUUUGGGUGACAUUGAUCUUAGUAAAGUGCAUGACCAAAUGUACUCCAGAGGCAACAGAUAUUUGUUAAUCUUGUAGUGUGUCUGGCCUUUAUAGUGAGUACUAAAAUGCAUACAGCUGCAUUGCAACAGAUACUGAUCUUUGAUGUGCCAUAUGCUUUGCAUUAAACGUUACCAAACGUGAUCAGGAAAAAAGAAGGUGCAGAAUUACGGAGGAGCUGGCGGUUAACUAUAGUGUAAAAUGUUGCAUUUGUAUUAUUGCUAUAUUUAUUUGUCAUCCUUCGUAGUUGUAUGCAUCACCUUGACAGUGCUGUUAUGGUCUAAUGUGCUACACAUUUUGGAACUGUUUGGAUGUACAGGGAAAGAGCGAAACAUAGGGAUGGCAGUGUGCUCAUCAAUGCUCGGACAAAGAGACUUCAUCUUUCAUGGCAUUAGUUGUGGUACUUGAUGUUACCAGUUCCAGCAUUGAACCCAGUAAAAGAGCAUAUCAAGUGAGAUAAGUGAAAGCAACAGUUUGACUGUGCAUGCAAUUAUGUCUUUUUUCACUAGUGUACGCAGCCGUAGUACUAUAAUUGUGCCUGGUGUGAUUGGAGCAGAGAUUCAGUUCACAAACAUAACCUAAAGAAACAUGUUUCAGGAUUGGCUACAAAGUGGCUCCAAGGUGCUGGUGAAGACCAUGUCUCUAAUGAAUUUAAUCGCAAAAACUUUGCGCAUGCACGCCACAACUCAGCUUAAUUUGUUGAUAUCUGCAGCUACUGCUCGGUUCCGUAGGCAAAUGAAAAUGUUUAAUGUUCAGUGCAUACCCCAAAGCAGUGUGCACAACCGAAAAUUUGAACUAAUGCAUGUUUCUAAAAGGCCAUUGUUUUGAAGAAAAGGCUUGUGCAGCUUUAAACAUUGCUUGCUGCAAACUAUUUCUGGUGGAUUGGCAGUACUAACACUGUGCAACAAAGUUGAUUGUGUGCAGCCAAAA
rnacentral:misc_RNA from 1 species